AGGGAUGUAGCUCAGUGGUAGAGUACUUGCCUAGCAUGUAUAAGGCCCUGGGUUUGAUCCCUAGCACUUCCA
rnacentral:tRNA from 1 species